rnacentral:lncRNA from 1 species
UUUGUGUUUGAGGUAUUCUGAUUGUUUAGCAUGUCCAUUUUAUUCUUUGGAUUAUUUAUUGUUCAUACUUAUCUUAGCAACUUAUGGACACUUUCAAAAGUGAGUUUUCUGCUGCACAUAUUUUGUAAAUUUUGAAAAAUUUAACUCAACCCCCCCCCCCCCAAAAAAAAAAAAACAAAGGAAUUAUUGAGAAUUAUCCAAGGAAGCAUGAUUUGGUAUAAUAGUGCGUCAAUAUUUGAACAUACAAUUUAACUUAGGUUGCUACAUUAAACUAAUGGCCUAAACUUUAGCCUAUGCACACAGAUAUAUCUACCAAUUUGUAAGGUAGAUAGUAUCACUCUAAUACUUUUUUUUUUUAAAUCUCUAAAUACCUCACAGCCAUCAUAUUGAGAGAAAUGCUGCAGUUUGAGGAAGCAUGGAGCAGGAAGAAUAUUCUUUUUGACAAAAAAAUCUGUAAACAUUAGAUUCCAAUUUUGAUUAUUUUAUGAAUAAUAAUUUUAAGAUUAAAAAUAUUUUACUAUUUAAUUAUUAUAGAUUGGAUUUAUAUUAAAAUUUAUUAUUUUUUUAAGUUCAAGUCUUCCUAGAACUUUAGCAUUAUUUUUUAUAUAUUUAUUUAUUUUAAAUAAAGGAUCCAUGUAUUGCACAUGCCACAUUGUAAUUAGAAUCGGAGAUAUUAGAACUAAGAUUUUUCGCAUGCCUUUCAUAUUGGAUUGGGGAAGCAUAGUAUGGAGAGUAUUAUUUUUUGACAAAAAAUCUAAAAGCCUCGGAUUCUAAUUUUGAUUAUUUUAAUUAAGAUAGUUUUCAGAUUAAGAUAUUUUAUUAUUUAAUCAUUAUAUAUCAUGUUUGUAUUAGAAAUAUCAUAACUAUUUUAUUACAUUUGUCUAUCAAAAAUUUAAGUCCUACAAGAAAACUUCUCUAACUUUUUUUUUGCAUUAUUAAUAUCCAGAGCAACAAAUUUUGUACUAUUUUCUAUAAGAGUUCGAGUCGAGUGAAUUUGAGGAAUUGCUUCCUUCUUCUCUCUUUAUUCGAAUCAUAGAAUAGCAAUACCACUAAAAUUCUCUUACCAAGAAUUCCAUUCAUGGAAUUGUGCCACCCAUUCUCGAGCUCUCAAUCCCACCACCCAAACAGGGGCUAUAGGGGAAGGAACUGAGAAAUUGGAUUUUAUGGGAUGAGAGUGGUUUAGCUCUGUUGCCAAAUGGAAACUGAAUAAUGCUUAGAACCCUCCUACAAUACAUUGCAUACUUUUGAGAUUUAUGCCCAUCUUUUUUAUUGUUUUUUUUUUUUUUUUUGUCUGAAAGCGGAUGUUUCAUAUAGUGCGUAUACGGAUACACCUAAAAAAGUCAAAAUACAACAAUUCGCAGAGUGCUAGUGGCAGCUCUCCCUCCCCUGACCAAAGAUUGUACCCUGAGUGGUGGGCCGCUAUCCAGUCGGCCGCCCCAUUGGCUUUUCUAAAUACAUGCUUGGCCUGAAAGACCCUCCCAUCUGUCAUCAUCAUCCCUAUGUUACGGAUUAAGGGGUGGUCUGUGCCGUCACCCCUCGACCCCCUCUAAAUCCACCCGAUAACCGUAGCCAUCUUUAUGUAUUCAAUGAUGCAUUUGGAAAGCAUUUCAAAUCUCAAAGGCCACCAUGUAUUAAAUUUUCAGCGAGAAGUCUAUCUUUGGAUCGUUAUCAUUAUCAUCACCUUUAAAUAAGCACCCCUAAACUAGUGGAGAUCAUGCUCAAAUAGGCACGGUUUCUCCGAUGGAUUUUGCUGUCAAUAUGCGAGCAUGGCAAUACGGGAGGCCGGCUUAAGUUGGCAUGAUUAGAACUAGAACACAUGAUUUAUCUCAGUAAGCGACUAAUGAGGUUUUUUUGGUUCAAUAAGAGUGACUAAAGCAUGGUUCCGCAAUGACAGAUCAUAGACAUGAUAUGGGUGUUACUAAUCAUGGUUCGGCACAGUUCGAGUACAGCACCAAAAAUUUCUGCUGUGGUUUAUUCCAACUCCAUAGCGACAUGUUUGGCGUUCAGAAACAAUUUGGAUAUUUCAAAUUGAGAACAAAAAUAUAACUUCAUCAAAAGUUUGAAAAACUCAAAUAAUUAUAUAUAUAAAAAAGAAAAUAAUGGACAUUAGAUUUUUAAAAAAUUGGCAUAUUUACUCAUGAAAAUUAGCAUAAAAAUGAAGAAUAAAUCCAUGUCCACCUCAUGAUUGAAUAGAUCUGAACGGAUUUGUUUAUUGAGAAUAUUUCAAAGAAUCAUUUGGAGAAGGAAAAGCUUGAAAAAAGCUGGGUCUUUUCGGCCACUCAAGAGAAUAUUGCUUCUGUUGUCCAUUCCUAUCCUGAGUUACCCAUAAUUCUCAUGUUACUUGCCACAUGGUUGGCUCAGACAAGAUUUCAUCGCCUACAUAAAGAGUUCUUUGAUAUACUUAGGAACAUAUGUUGCCCCAAAUAAGUAAUAGAGAGAGAAAAAGAGAGAAGCUAAGACAAGGGAGAGGCAUCAAAUCAAUAAUGGUCAGACAACCAUCUGCAAGUUCCUUCUGUAAUAUAGUGGAGAGAUCCACAGAGUUGCAAGGAAAAAGGAAGCAUGGAGAUCCCAAAUUUCAAUGUGCAACAGAAAAUAGUCAACAACAAUAUGAAGCCACUGUUUUGUUUGUUUCUUGAAUUUGUUUUAUUUAGUCUUUUAAUACUGCACCCUCACUGUUAUAUAUACAAGUAACAGAAUUAGAACAAACUCCAAUGGAGGAAAAAAAAAGAAAAAAAAGAGAAGAAAAGUAUAUAAUGCACACAGCUCCAUUGAGUUAACAGCUCCCAAGUGCUUCCAAAAUGCUAAAAAAGGAUUGGCAGAGAUCACUGGAGCUGUUAAAAACUGGGAGGAAAAACACUUCUAGUUAAGUACCUUUUCUUGGAUCAUCAACAUAUCCAUCCACAGGUCGUAUGAGUUAUUAUACCGGGUAAUGUUUAUCUAACACCAGUAAAAAAGGACCCAUAUCAUUCACCUUUAUUUUUUUCUGGUUUCACUAAUUUCUUCUCGCAAAGACAACCUUUGGGCUUGCCUGAAGCUGAAGAAGGCAAUCAUGCACUGUGGGCUUGGAGUUGUUCUCAAAAUCAGGCUUAAGUCUCAUCUGCAAUGUAAACAUUUAUUUAUGUUUGAUGAGUUUAACAAAUACAGUACAACUUUGCCAAAGUUGAAUAUGAUAUUGUAAUUCAUUACAAGGUAUGAUUUUAGCCGAUGGAAAGAACUAGUUGAAUGUAAAAAGAAAUUAUUCGUGAAUCACCUCUUGAUCUCAAGUCCCCUUUUUUUACAGCUAAAGGUACUCAGCAACAUGUCAUGCGCUAAUUAACUUAAAGAGGAGUAUUUUCAAUCAGGUAAACAACAAAAGCCAAUUAUGCCUCAUGCUCUUUUAAGCAUCGAUUUCAUGCCACAUGCAUAAAUAAUCAAACAUGUUAUGCAUUUCUACAUAUAAACACACCAAAAUGACGAAAAAACGCUAGUUGCAGCAUGCAAUUAUCAAAAGAAAGAAAAGAAAGAUUACUAACACAUGGUAUAUAUGAAACAUAGUUUGUUUUUGAUUUUGAACUGAUAACAUUACAAAUCUGUACCGAUUUCGGUCACAAUACAUGCAGUGCUUGUUGCUGCAAAAAAAGAAUUAAAAAAUGCAUUGAUGUAUGUAAUCCAUUCUUUGUUAUUAAAAUCUGAGAUGUCCCUCCAAAAAUUAAUCUAAAAUCACAAGCAAAGUUUCAAAUAUCGUGCAAUUUGGUCACGUACUGCUUGCUGGCAGGUACAGAGUGUUAGGUGAGGACCCAAUGACGACUUAGUUUUUCACUCUCGAACUCAAGUCGAAUAAAUCUAGACAUAUGUCGGACGACGGGGUUUGACGAGUUAUCCAUGACCUCCGGUCUGUAGGAAUCCAUGAUAGAAAUACUGUAUCAUACGAUAACUGCACCUACAGGUUCAUCAUUCUACUCUGCUGGGUAGCCACUACAUACUGCUAGGUGUCACUGGUGGAUGGUGAGACUCACAGGGACCAUUCUGAUGGUCGAUGAUCCCUGGUGAAAUCACAAAGGGGAUAAAGAUGAGCUCCUAUUUUGAAUUCACAAAGGGAUAAAGAUGAGCUCCUAAAAUUUAGGAGCUCAUCUCUAUCCCCACACCAUAAAAGAGGGGUUCAAAGGGGCUACGAAUUUUUCAUGGUUUUUCCUUGGGAUUUUUGGCAGCAAGGAACCUCCUUCCAUCCCUCCUUUCAGCCACAAGAAAGCAAGAAAAAAAGGCUUGUGGCGUGGCCCUUCUUCCUUCCAUUCUUUGGUUCCAACGCGAAGGGAAAAAUGAAAGACUGCGGGUUUUACAUUCUUCUUCCUACAUCCCUCCUUCUUCCUCCUCUCAAGGUAAUCAAAAGUUGAUUCAAAGGAGAGGAUAUCAGCCAUCAAAAGCUAUCUCUGCAAGGGAGCUAGCACCCCGGGAAGAUCCAAAAGCUUCAAUUGGUGCUAUACCUCGUGUGGAUACCUGUAGAGGCCGGAUGCGUGUGCGGCUUCCAUCGAACCUUCAACAAAUCCACGUAAAUCAGAUUUGCAGAGACCAUCUACCCGCACAAGAUGAAGAUCUGAUCUUCUUAAUGAUUUUAAAAUGGUUUAUAAGAAUUUAAUCCUAAUCUAUCUACAAACGACGGUUUUAAAAUACGUUCAUGCGAUGAACGGGAUCGCACAUGCCCUUCCGCUGCACAUCUAAAAAUUUUUGAAAUUUUUCUGCGGCAUGCAUCAGAUCCUAACAGUGGUAUCAGAGCCAGGUUAUGUAGAUUAAGAUUGGAAUUAAAUUUUUAAAGGCAUUUUAAAUCUAAAAUUUAAAGAAUUAUGCUUGCUGAAAUUUUCUGCAUACAGAAUUUUCAGCUUGCUGAUUUUUCUGCAUGCUAAUUUUUGAAUGCUUAGAUUAAUGAUUCUAAUGCUUUGGUAAUGUGAUUACAAAUAUUUAGAAUCAUAUCUUGCAUAAUCAGCAAGUCAUAAGAUGAAAUAAUCAGUUAAAUUACAGAUCUGAAAAUAAUAUUUAUGCAUGAGAUGCGUAUGGUGAUGAUCAUGGAUGGACCCUUUUGAAUGUGCUGAAAUAUUCUGCGAUAUUCUGUGAUGCUAUGUGAUGGCAUGUAAUUUUAAUUUUCAGAUGCCUGCGUGCAUCUUAAAUUCAUGUAUUAAAGACCUGCGUGUCUCAUGAAAAAGGGUUGUAAUUUAUUCUUUUAUUUUAUUUAAUUUUUAAAGCAAUCUGGGAUGUAAUCUGUGAUGUGUGUUGCACGUCGAUGGUUGAUCGAUAUGUACAUUAACAAGCUUAACAUGCACGGAUCGAAAUCAAGGGUUGAUUGAAGAUGGAUCAAGGAGUUGAUCACAAUUGGACCUAGGGAUCAAGAUCAAGUCAAAAGUUGAAGAUGAUCAAACCAAUUGACGUGCAUGUGAUUGUAAAAUGACCCCAUCCUGGAUCCAUGAUCAUCACCAUUUAAAUUUAUUUGUUGAUAAAUGCCUGGAUGUUUAAUGCUUAUGUCUAUACGGGUAGAUAUAUAUUUGCAUGAGAUGUGAAUAGUCGAUCGAGAGAGACCUAAAUACAAACCUUCUCAAUCAGUCAAGAGUGAACCAACAUGAGCUAGUCAUAUUAGAUUAAUUGAUCUAAUUGGUGUCUAGGCAGCUUAAAAGGUGGUUACUUAAUUAGGACCUUACUCUUCGAGUAAGGGGAACCUCCCACCUGCUUACCUGGCCAAUUGUUCCAUGCGAAACCAAUCACCGGCUAGUACAACCUCCGAUACCAAUUCGGAGAACCUUAAUUCUUGGAUAUUGCUAAAAGAAUGAUCUAUAUGUGUCCGUUUUUAAAAUUUAAAUAUGUUUUUUUUGAAUCCAUACUAACUAAAUAGUUAAUAGCACCAAGCUCCAUAAAAUAUGCAUAGAAGAGUAUAUUAGAACAAUAGUAAUUAUGCCAUCUUUAAGUGAAGCAUUAAAGUCGAUUUUAGAAGAAUUUGACAAACAUAACACAGAUCACCAACCUCAUAGUUUUGAAGUAAAUAUGCAAGCAAUGCUGAUAUUCCAUGAAUUGCAAACUUUUGUCCAAUGCAUGCUCGUGCACCAGCCCCAAAAGGAAGAAAUGCUGCACUUUUAUUUGGUUCACUUAUAAAUGGGCACUCUUCAUGCUUCUCAUGUUCCUCAAAUGUGCCUGCAAUUUCAUUUUGAGACAGAUAUUGAAAACAUUAACAAAUAAGUAUCUCAAAGAAAUGCUUUAAAGGAAUGAAAAAUGGAAUAAAUUCCAUUUCCUUUGAAGGGAGAUUGAAGUAUUGGGAGCGAACAUGCAUAAAUUAUAAAAUUGAAGGAGCCAAAAUGCAUGAUAAUGGAGGAGUUCUAUUAAACCUUUGUAAAUAAAUCAAAGCUAUAUCAUCUAAUAUUGCUUUGAUAUACCAGGAAUUAGGAAGCAUCUUACUCAGUAAAACUAUCAGAAAUAAAGCACAAUCCUUCAAACUAUUGGUAAAAGAAAUCAACCCCAUUAUGCCCAAAAGUAAUGCUCAAUCCUUAUUUGAUUUAAACAACUAAUACAGGUGACUGGCAUUGGUUGUUCUCGUCAGGUGCAACAAUUAUUGUAGCAUCAGACAAAUUGGCAAUAGCCUUUUUGUUCAUAGAAAUUCUUAAUAAGAUAAUUCUCAAAUGGUGAAAAAUCUCAGAAGACAAUGAUACAAAAAUGCAACCAACUAAAAGCCACAGAAAUAUUAUACUACCAAGAAGAGCAAAAUAUUGAUGUGUAGAAAAAGGAGAGAGAAAUGAACAUAGCUUUUGACACAAGAAUAAGAUCGUCUUAAACAACAAUAAGCAGCCUCCCACAAGAUUUUAGAAUUUUGGUUCAAGUCUUGGUUUUGAUAAGAGGACUAAAGUAUUGGCUGAAACAUGCUUCGACUGGGAUAGAUCUCAAACUGAUCAAAAAAUUCAGUUUCGGCCACCGGUUUCAACAGUUUCAGAUGAAACCAACUGAAGCUGCCGUUCUUUUACCCCAUUUGUUAACAAGUAUAUGUAUUUAUGUUUAAUAUGUGUUCGAUAUUAUUAAAUCACACGUUCAUCUGAGUCUCUAAUGAUCUUAUCUAUAUAACUUUUGUCUAAGUUAUUAUACUGGAAAGUCAAUGUAUUAAAAAGUGGAUAGAAAGCACAUAACAGCCAGGGGGGCUCCUAGCCAAUAGCGAAUAGCAAGUGCUAUGUACCCAAAGCAGGCUGUUGAAGUAUAUAUAUAUUUUCUUACUAAAUAUCAAAGAUAUCAACUCUACAUCAACUUCAUGUAAAAAAUGAAGAAAAUAAAGAAAAAUUUAAAACAACAUCCACGUAUCAUCGUAAUAUCAUAUCAACAUUUAUAAUUUUGUAUAAUGUAAAGGUACACGAUCUAAUGAGCAAUAUCAUCAUCCACCAAACAUAAUUACAUCACUCAAUAAAGAUGUCUACAAUAUGAUAACAUCAACCAUAGAAGAAAGAUGUCCACAAUCAUACAAAUAAUCCACUUCUCCUUAUCCUCUCUCUCUCUCNNNNNNNNNNNNNNNNNNNNCUCUCUCUCUCUCUCUCUCUCUCUCUCUCUCUCUCUCUCUCUCUCUCCCCCCAUGCUCCAAUUGAACAUGGGUAUGAAAUAACUAAACCAGCCCAUGUUUUAAUCAUCCUAUUGGACUAGCUGAUUGUUGGACCGCUUCAAUUGGAAAGUGGUCCAGUCUGCUAUAAAAUAAAUCACCCACUUCAAACACAGCAUCAUGGCUGCUACAGUGGGUUUCCCACUUCAUACUUGUGCCAUAUGGCACCACCAUGAUAUUUAGCAUAGCCUUCUUCGGCUGAAAGCGCUAUAGCCGCUGUAGCAGCCUAUUUUUAAAACAAUGUGGUCAAUCUGCAAACUUGAUAUAUCUUUACUAAUCAGGCAAGAUAGUUCGUCUUCUUAUUUUUCUUACUUAAAUGAGUUUCUUCCUCCUUUGCUAAAUAAAGUGAAAUAUUAAGAUGAAAUAAUGAAAUAAAAUGGGUUUUUUAUUUGGAUUGGUCCUUUUCUUUUCUUUGUCCAAAUGAAAUAGAGUAAAAUAUACUUAAAUGGGUUUCUUCUUGAUUAGAUGAAUUAAUAAAAUGCAACAAUGUUAAAUAUGCUUAGAUGUUUUUUUCCUCUGAUGAUUUAUAAAAAUGAAAUAGAAUGAAAUAUGCUUAGAGGAAAAGUUUAGUUAAAUUUUUAUGGAAAAUUAUAAAAAACAAAGAAAAGUAUAGAGAAAUUAUAAAAAUUAGAGAAUUGUAAGAAGCAGAGUCGCCGAGUUGGGAAACAAGUGUGAGAGAUCAUAUGAGAAACAAAAGUUGGUGAUUGAUAAGAAAUUAUACAAUUGGGAAAAUUGGUGGCAUCUAUAUAUGAUAAUUAAAAUUAUUCACAUAUUUAGCAUAGGAAAUAAAAAAGAUAUCUUACAAAGAUUAAAAAAAAUAAAAUCUCUACUCGUCGCCUAUGUUCUUUAAAAAGAAAAGAAAUAGGUAGCGAAGAUGAAUCUUUUUCUUCUAUUCUAAUGGGGCCUAGCUUCUAACUUUUUUUAGACAUGGGGUCCAUGUUGUGGUUUAAGGUAUAUUAGUAAUCAUUUUGAACUAAAACAAUUUUAGAUUGACAAAAUUUCUAAUUAAAGGACACUUAGAGCAAAAGUCUAUAUGGAAAGAUCACUCAUGCAAAGAAAAUCUAAAUCGAGGUUUUUUUUUAACUUCCUGUAGGUGGUGGGACUGAUGUGGUCGAGGCAUGUGGGGAAAGAGGACAAAGAGAGUGUGUAUUGGUUAUUUUCAGAAUGCAAAUUCAGCAUUUCUCAAAAUGCGCUUUGCACUCAUUUCUCAGGUUUUUUUUUUUUUUUUGUGGUACUAUAUAUUGAACGUGAGUACACCCAGCCAGAUCACUAGAAAGUAACAAAGACAAAGGAGGAGGAGCAUCUGAAUCAGACGUCCAUGGUAAGAAUAUUACAGAAAAAAAAGUCUAAACAUUUAAAGAAUUAAGCUUUGAUACAGUUUAAUUUCAAUCUGAGAUUACCCAAAAUACAUAUUAUAAUCCUAAAUAACUCAUAACACAAUAAAACGAUGUGAAUUAGCUUGUCUUUAUUUUUUCUCAACUUUUCUUGUUUGGAUCUUUUUAAACUUUUUUUACCAUAAGUCUAGAACUCAAGGUAAAAGUAUCAAAAUUGAAAUUACAAUGGUCAAGAAAAAUAGAGUUUUAUAAGAGAUGUGUAGAUCAUAUGUUAAUGAAUUUAGGGCUGAUUGAGUGACUGGCAGGGGUCGGUAGUCGACUUGUAAAAGUAUUUCAGGUUGCCUAUAUGAAUCUAUGCAGAAAUUCAGUGUGUACCACUAGAAAAAAGACAUAUAUGAGACUAAGUGCAAGUCAUCGAUACACAGAAAAGCACAGCAUAUGGAUAAGUUUAAGAAAAUAACAUAGAAACAAAAAUAGUAUGAAGCAAAAUAAAACAGGUAAAAUGAAAGAGGUUGGCGGAAAGAAAAACUAAAGAGACAGAAAGAAAAACUAGGAGGAAGUAAGAGAUGCAAAUCAGACAUCAAAUCCUUGAUGCCUUUCACAAGAACAGAGAGAAAGAAAACAGUUUAUCAUGCUUCUUGGAGUCUAGCAGAGGACCACAUAUGGCCUUCUCAGGUAAAUAAUAUCUAGAUUUUCCAGACCUCUAUAACGCAAAACUCAGUUUCUCACAGAUUCCUCUACAGAAGACACCUAAUCUACACAAAAUUAAAUCCUAAUGACUUCAGAAAUUUUCGAAUGUUAUAUAUAUAUAUAUAAUCUGAAAAUUACAAUAAACCUAAACUGCACCCAAUAGGCUACCAUUAAAUAAUAAGGUACCAUCAGAUGUAUGUACGCAGUAGUGGUGACACUAGCAGCAUCAAAACCCUAUUCUGCUUUCACCUUACUAGAUGAGUGGAAGUCAUGUUCCAAUAGAAUGAUCUUCCAGUCUAACCACUCAAAGUUGCUUACAUAAAGGGUUGGGGACCAAGUCUGUAUUUUAUUUUUGUAAUUAAACUUUUCCAAGCACCAAGAAAGAACACCAACAAGAUAGCCAUCCUUCAUGCUGCCAACCAUGAAAUUCUCUCAUUCACCAUUGACACCAAUGAGGGAUUUCAGCAAUGCAUGCUAUUUAUAUAUGAAAAAUAUUCUCUACAAAGAUAUCUUGCAUUAUCACAGCAUUGGACAUGGUUAAAGAUUUCUCUAAUUCUUUAACACAAGGUGAAUGCUAGGCAAGGGCACUGUAUUAAGUUCCUUCUUUAGUUAAUACAUACAUGGAAACACUCAAUGAAUUUUAACUUGCAAAUCAUAAUCCCUCUUACAUAUAUGAGAGUGAAACAAGGAGUCUAAUAAGUUCCCCUACUAAUCAAAGAUUUAAAUUCUUACGAAGUAAGUUGUAAUUCAUAAAACUUCAAAGAUGAUACUAAAAAUUUCAAGAAAUCAUUAAAUUCAUCUUUUGAUUAAGAAUUGUCAUUUUAAAUUGGAGUUCAGUAUUUUUCAUACUAAAGGCAUCUCCAUUCUGUGCAAUUUUCAAAUAAGUUGAAGGUGCAUUCCUCUAUAUUUUGGCAGAUACAACAUCAUCCCAAUAAUGAAUUUACUGACAAACAAAUUACCAUGGUAUGGAUAAAUUAAACACUUUUUUAUUAUAUAGAUACUUCGUUCAUGAAUCAUUGAAACUAUAGGUUCCCAUACUUAAUUCAAUUAUUAGUUUGUCAGCCAAUUGGGUAAGCUAUGUUUAGUUUUUAGUAGCAGGAAACUUAUACUUGAUGAAAAAGUAAUGAAACUGCAUAGAUAAUGGGAGUCAAUUUGACCGUAGAGAAUGCCUAGAUUGAUGUACUUCUACUCAUAGUAUAUCUCCUUUUCCCUCAUUUUAAAUGCAUAGAUUUAAUGUAUUUAAUGCCUAGAUAAGCGAGUCAAAAAAGUUCAUUCACAUAUCUCUUGAUGGUGCAUACCUUUAACAAAUCUGUGAUUGUAAGUGUUAAAACAUUAAGAUCAUUGCUCAUACCUCACACUUAAAAGUAAUCAAUGUCCUGUCUAUGCAUGUGGCUAAAAUAACUUGAUUUUGAGAAGAUCUAUGAUGAAAUCAAGGGCCUCAAUCAUUCAACCCAAUUUACAUCAUGAUGAUUUAAGGCCCCAUUCUACUGCUAGGAGAGUCAAUGGCAUGUAUUAGAAUGUUAAACUAUCAAACAACUCAGAUUUACUCAUUUAUUGAGUUUGUAUCUGUAUUUUUUUAGCCAUGGUCAUAAUCUUAGUCAUUCGGUUAUUUGGCCUUAACUUGGACUGGAGUCACUUGACCGCUGAGCAUUUAACUCAUUUGUCUGUCUAAUAUUCUUGAUCUCUUGGUUAUUUGGUACCCGAGUUAUUUUUUUUUCUACUUUAUUUGGUUACUUCAUUUAUAAAAUAGGUUAGGCUAUAUAUAUAGCUAUAGCAAAGCUAAAGGAGUAGUACUAAGUUAUAUGUGACUUUUGGCGGAGAAAGAAGUCUCUUCUCACAUGAGACUUGGAAUUCUACUCUUCACUCAUCUCCUCUCUCUUCUCUCAGCUUCGUUUCUUUCCUCUCUCUUCUUUCCAUGUGAAAUAUUCUCCUUAACCUGCACAAAUCUAAUUUAUUUUUCUGAGAUUUGAUUUGGGAUCUAAAUUCUCUUUAACCUAAAGAGAAAUAUGUUUUCCCUGAAAUUUGAUUUUGGGUCACAAUUGAACCUUCCACUUAAUAAUAAAAUCAUAAUAAUCCUUUUCCCAAUACUAAACCCUAUUCUCUGAACCCCAGGGUGGAGCAGAAAACCUAAAUAUACCCUUUAAUCCACCAAAUAGCUCACUUCAGUCUUGUUUUCUGAGAUUGGACAGGAAGUUCUUAAAAUGAGCAACACCCCUAAAUAUUCUAGCCUGAUGAACGCAUAAGCAAGCCAUUCCUGAGCAAUCCUGCAUGGAAAAUUUAGAAAGAGCCAACAAGUUCUAAGAUCUAGGCCAAUAUAUAUCAAGAUAUCAAAAUAUCAGAUGAAGAAUUAAAAAAAAAUUGAGAUUCAUUGAUGUUUCAAGGCACUGCUUUUAAUGUAUUGGCCAAUCUCUAGGGAUAUACAGAUUUUUAUUGACCGAGUUUAUAGGGCCAAGAUUU